CACCAGGCUGUGUUUUUAUUUCACCGCGUAGCUAUUAAGACCAUUAUGACCAGGUUAUGUUUUCCGAUGAGUGCUUUAGAAAUGGUUACUGGGACGUUGUGGUCGCAUUAGCAAAGUUACAUUUAAACGCAUUGGUGUCAAGGCUUUUCCUUGGUGAUGAAACUCACGGUAACGGCACUGAUUUAGCCAUUACUGGUAAUGACAGGGUUUUAAUGUUAUGGCAAUGAAAGCUGUGGCCGCAGUUUUGCUACAGUUAAAAUAUAUUCAAAAGAACUACUGAGCGAGCUGUUAGCAACGAUUGGUUCCGUUCUCUCGUGUGUGAACGUCAUGCCAGACCCUAUUCAAUUAUUUGGUAAUAUUAAUUGGUCUUACUCAUGGGCAACAGAUGGGACACUGAGUAACAUGUUCCUGCAGACUGUGCAGUAGAGGAGGCUGCAGUUUCAGGACCGCAUUUCUAGGACCCUAGUUUUUCGUGACACUGCCACCUACUGAAUUGGAUAACUGAGGACUGCAUUUGUAGGAUACAUGGACAAGAUGGACGAUAAUCAGAGUGAUAUACCAUUAGAUUGCCGACCACAAUGGCAUUACCACUGCAUCCACUGCCAGUCAAUGCUGUCAUGUAAACCGGACUUGAGUAAACACCUGUCUUCGUGCAAGGAGAAGCACCCUGUCUGUCUUUUUUUCCACUUUGGGGGUGGGGGGGUGUUGUAUUGUCCUUGUUGAAUCUGGUUUAUAUAUUGUGGCUUGUUAUUGUUUAUUGUAUCCAUAAAAAACAGUAUAUAAUCUUGAA